GGAUUCAGGUGCCGAUUUGAUUGUCAAAGAGACAUAAUUUAGCAUGAUGAUACACUCAUACCUGUUGCAGUUGCAGCAACAGAUGAUCAGCAGGACAUUGCAGAGUGCUUCUGCACAGCAGCACCUGCAUAUGCUGAAAGGUUCAACUCAUCCUAGGAAAUUAUUAAGAAUCGACUCAGUGCAUUACAAAUUAAAGCAAAGAAGAAUGUCUUGUGACGACUAACUGUGUCAGCAUGAUGAAAUGAUAUGUUUCAAGACAUCAGCAACCUUUGGACCCUGGAUUGGGUAAGAAGGGAAUGUGGGAUCGCAUGAAAUUCAUGGAGCUAUUUACAAAUCCCAAGAUUCUUGUUUGCUGAAUUUGUUCUGAGCAGGUCUGGAGCCCAAGACUGAUGCCAUAAUCUGCAAAAGAUUAUACAACUAAUGCAAAAAAAAACAUUAUAAGGCUACUAAGCGGAAAAAAAUGUGUUUCAUAGUUUAAGACAUCAAUACUUGAAAUUCAGUAGUAUGAUAUACCUAAUGAAGUCCUUGCCCAACUCAGGCUAGUCCCACCCAGGUCAUGCAAGCAGCAGUACAGGAGCCUUUUGAAAUUCAGAGUUUUACCGCCUUUUGGAAGCACAGUGGCGAGGGAGCGACGACGGGAAGCACAGUGGCGGGGGAGUACCGAGGUCGCCGGCGGCAGCGACCCCGCCGCCGUCCGGCUGCCGUCUUCGGCACACAAUAUUUGCAUUCAAAAAGACCCCUGGUUCGGAUACGCCCAUCCUCUCGGGGCCGUCCGCCGCCGUCGCCGUGCUCCCUGCC
rnacentral:lncRNA from 1 species